UGUAGUAGAACUAGGCAGUGUUCCAAAGAGCAGAGAGGAGGCUGGUUUGAAUUACAUAAAGGAAAGAAUUUCUCUGUGCAGCUGGUAGUGAGCUCCUACAGGUGGCUGUGGAGCCUGAGAGCACUAGCCUGUUCAAAAAGUGACUGAGCAAACUUAUGGGCAACAGGCUUAUUAAGUGGGUGCUAAAGAGAGCAGGAGGAGUUGUAGCUGUUGUUUCUCAGAGCUCUGAAGAAGGAGAGGUGCUGAUGAAGGCUUGGGAGAGAUGCAUAUCCCAAGUGGCCUCGUGGAGGGAACUGAACAGACGCCAAUGAACAUACCUCUCUGGCAAGUGUCUAGACCCAUCUUUUAUCAGAAUGACCUUGGUGGGACACAGUAUCAGAAUUUGGUCAGAGAACACUGUUCCCAGAGAAUGUGCCCAAAACAGAGGAGCUGGGAAGAAUUGCCUUUUGUAGUUGCUGACAGCUGCCUCUGGAUAGAACUGGGGAAGAAGCACAAGUACCUGUUCAAAACACAAGGCUUCUGCGUGGUUGCGCUUGCUACAAGCACGGGAACAGUCGCAGUUCCCAUGUGCCUGCUGGCCCUUUGGUCUCUGUUGGUUUUCUAAGUGCCUGAAGCAAGACUGAAUUCUUUUAUCAAGACACAACCCCAGGGCCAUUUCAGUUUUUGGCCUCUUUCUUGGAAGCUAACCAGUGAUGGCAGAGUUUGCCCUGUCUGCUAGGAACUGGACAGACGCCACUCAUGCACCUCAGAAAAUUACUCUUAGGCUUUAAUCAUGC
rnacentral:lncRNA from 1 species